GACGAACGCUGGCGGCGUGCUUAACACAUGCAAGUCGAGCGAUCGGCCAGGGAGGGGUAACCCACCCUGGUACGGAGCGGCGAACGGGUGAGUAACACGUGGGCAACCUGCCCCAGACUCUGGAAUAACCCCGGGAAACCGGGGCUAAUGCCGGAUACUCUCGCCGGGUCGCAUGGCCUGGCGAGGAAAGGGUUACCGGUCUGGGAUGGGCCCGCGGCCUAUCAGCUUGUUGGUGGGGUAACGGCCUACCAAGGCGACGACGGGUAGUUGGCGUGAGAGCGUGGCCAACCACACUGGGACUGAGACACGGCCCAGACUCCUACGGGAGGCAGCAGUGGGGAAUCUUGCGCAAUGGGCGAAAGCCUGACGCAGCGACGCCGCGUGGGGGAUGAAGGCCCUCGGGUUGUAAACCCCUUUCGGCAGGGAAGAAGCGAAAGUGACGGUACCUGCAGAAGAAGCCCCGGCUAACUACGUGCCAGCAGCCGCGGUAAGACGUAGGGGGCGAGCGUUGUCCGGAUUUAUUGGGCGUAAAGCGCGCGUA
rnacentral:rRNA from 1 species